CUCGCUCCUCCUGAGCCCUAGGGAAAGGACAAAAACUGAAGUCACUUGAUGAGUCGUACAUACCCAGCCACUGGGUUCGCUGGAAACAAAGGGCAUGUUUCAGAGAUCAAAGCCUCACUUAUUCCACUGGAGGGUCUGCACACAGAAAAAAAAAAGACAUUCAGGCAGUUAAACCAGAAUAUCUUGCACCUGCCCAAGAACUUUGUGACACUUAUGUCUAAUAUGUGUGUGAGCCCAUCAAAAGACUGUCUCCUGAAUGUCAACAGCCACAUGUUUGAAAAGUAAAAUUGGCAGCAUGUUUGUUAUGAC